rnacentral:rRNA from 1 species
GGGGAAUUUUGGACAAUGGGCGCAAGCCUGAUCCAGCCAUGCCGCGUGAGUGAAGAAGGCCUUCGGGUUGUAAAGCUCUUUCGCAAGGGAAGAAAACGUGUGGGCUAAUAUCCUGCGCGGAUGACGGUCCCUUGACAAGAAGCACCGGCUAACUACGUGCCCGCAGCCGCGGUAAGACGUAGGGUGCGAGCGUUAAUCGGAAUUACUGGGCGUAAAGCGUGCGAGGCGGUUGUGUAAGACAGGUGUGAAAUCCCCGGGCUCAACCUGGGAACUGCGCUUGUGAUUGCAAGACUAGAGUACGGCAGAGGGAGGUGGAAUUCCACGUGUAGUAGUGAAAUGCGUAGAGAUGUGGAGGAACACCAAUGGCGAAGGCAGCCCCCUGGGUCGAUACUGACGCUCAGGCACGAAAGCGUGGGGAGCAAACA